rnacentral:lncRNA from 1 species
UCAAAUUACCCCAUGAGUUAAGGCUGAACCUCCUACGUAUCUGUGUGUUGGGUAACCACCACUAAACAUCUGAAUUUAUCCAAUGCUACCUCACCCAAAAAGCAUCAAGAUAAUUGACCAACCUAGAACUAUGGAUUUAGCAGCCUCUUUGUUCUGUAGAGUUUUUUUUAUUAUCUAUGUCUUGCCUGCUACUUAGAUUUAAUGGUAUGAUAGGGAAGGAUGCAUAAACAGACAACCCCUACAUGCACAACACCAGUCACUGCCUUGAACACACGUCCAGAAUUAAUGCCAAAGAUCGAUAAAUUUGACUCUUGAAUCAUAUGUUCUGAAACAACAGCCAAUUAUGUUGCUGGGAUAUGUCGUAGAAGUGUCGUAUCGGUGCAUGAUACUGCACUAGGGGUGAUAUGCCGGGAUACGCG